UUUUAUUAAUUGGAUCGAGUGAAUUUCCCAUAAUGCCCCUACUUUCUCUUAUAGAGAGGUCCCUUUCGGGACAAAUUCUUUUCUUUACCUUGACCAUAAAGUGCCAUGGGAUGACCUUUUCCUAUUCUGCUCUUGCUUGACAUGGUAAACAGUAUUGCCAAGCAUUAUCCCAGUUAUUUAAUCAGUUUCAUGGCCCUUCUUUUAGGACAAUUACUUUUCUGUGCUUCCAUUCAAGAAUUAUAUUAAAUUGAAAAGGCUUCUUGUCUAUCUUUGUUAGAUUUAUGUAUCCUUGUUGAAAUAGUGUACUUGAUAG
rnacentral:lncRNA from 1 species